rnacentral:tRNA from 1 species
GUGGGUAUAACUCAGUGGUAAAGCACCUGCUUAGCAUGCAUGAGGUCCUAGGUUCAAACUCCAGUACCUCCA